CAGGCAGAACUGUGACGUAGUAGAAAGUACAGUUUGAGUUGGUUUGAGAGCAGUCGCCGUAAGCUUGCUGUUUUAAACACCAUCGACUGGGAAGUUCCACACAUAACCUCAAAACUGGAGAGAAGAUGGAGAGUAAACCGGAAGAAACACAAACCAAUGAAUCAAACAGAAGAGUGAAAAUAACAAGACUCAACAGCAUGGAGGAUUUAAAACCGAACUUGUUUCCUGAUCCGGUCAAACCCGAGCCUCGUUCUGAUGAUCCAGAGACGGCUCAAGACGAGAAAACCAAAGACGUUAAUUUUCAGCGCAGAUGUCUUCAACCGGUUCUAUCAUGAGGGUUACCUUUGUUGCUAACUCCAUGCUUUUAUAAGCUCAUUCAUAACCCGGUGAAAUGAGUAUUUAGAUACAAUAUAGCAUCUAGACCAGGGGUGCACACACUUUUUCAACCCGAGAGCCAAAAUGUCAAAAUGAUCUACCGCCCACUAAAAAUGCAAAACACAUUAUUUAUAAAUAUAUUGAGAGUUAUUUUUAUAUAGUAUAUGCUGGUGUACCUUGCAUUACUGCAUCAACCUAUAUUGCUCAAUACAACUCAAUACAACUGUACUUUUUUUUUUUUCACCCGGAACGAUGCUUCAGUGGCCGCUCUUGCCUUUGAAGUUAGCUGUGUGAAAAACGACUGCUAUCCGGACAGCUGGGAUUUUAGUUCCUUCACCUUUCUCCUUCUCAGCUCGCUUUUCGGAGGGAACUCGGUGUCAUAGUUUUUAUGAACAGUCCGAAAGUGGCGCUCCACAUUUCCCUUCUUCAGUAAAGCAAUUGUAGACUGACAGAUGAGGCAAACGCACUUCGAAAAUGACAUUGUGAAAAAGAAGUCCUCCUCCCACUCCGUAUGGUAGUGGUAGGUCUUCGGCUUUUUACUUGGUCCAGCUUUUCCACUCAUUUUUAUCCCCUUUCUUACUCGCUAGCUUGCUAGAGUUUUGCAGCACUUAGCGCAGUUGUAUGCGCUUUUUUUUUUUUUUUUUUUCAAUGCCAUGCGAUCUAUCCACAAUGCCUUUGCGAUCGACCAGUCGAUCGCGAUCGACGUAAUGGGCACCCCUGAUCUAGACUAAGGACAGACUUUGAAGUCUCUUAAACUCCUGCUUUUUACAUUUAAUUUAGGUGAUCACGAGUUACUGUAGUCCGAUUGUCCUGACCACUUUUGAUUGAUUGAUUGAAUUGAAAAUGAACUUAUUUAAUGUAAGUAUUAGACUGAAUCCCAGUUUAAGUAGUUUCUAAUAAGUUCUAAGAGCAUCAACCAAGAGGGCCAUCUAGUGGAGAAAUAGGACACAGACAGGACUUCAAGAUGCUCUUCCUGUUCCUCCAUUUCUUUCAAAGUUGUCAGCGUUUGCAUUUUACCAACCGUGUUUACCAUGUCUUGUUGUGUCUUUGUGUCAUUGUACCAGUUCACCAAGUACACUCAAUGGAUUUUAAUGCUAUUCAUGUUAUUUUAAGCAAUACUUUUUUUCGUUGUCACAUCAGGUUUCUAUUACUGCAGAAGGUUAAACUGAGCUGAAAGUGUUCUUUUACUCAUUUUAGCACACUGAGAAAAUACUAAGACCUGUUAAGGUUUGCUGGUCUGCAAAACCUGUAUAAAAGAGAAGUAAACAUUCUUCAUACAUUUGAGAGAGAAAUGAAAAUGAACAAACACUACUACUGGCUUAGACUUUGCACCUAUUGUUGAAAAAAAUGUUAGAUGACAAAAUUGCAAUUAUAAUACAGUUAUAAGAACUAUACAACUAUAUAGUAUUCUAACAACUACACUUGUUCUGACUAUCAUCUCAGCCAAAACCGGUUUUAAUGCCUGCUUUAAACAGGAUGUUUUAGAGAUGAAGAGAGUAUUUAUGUCACCAUCAGCGUAAAAAAAACAUUGAAUGUAUGUAUGCAUGAAUUACAUCUUUAUGCUGAUAUUUAUAGAUGUGUGUUUGUUUCCUGUUAUUCAUGAUCUCUAUAGAGUGACCUGUUUUUUAUUUUUGCUACACUACAAACUAAAGUCAAGCUCUGUUCUCUGUAGAGUGUCUCAAUAACUCAGUCCACUCGAUAAAGAUAUUAGUUUGCUAGUAUUUUAUUCUGAAAGCUUGAAAAAUGAAGGUGCAUUACAACCAAACCUCUUUAGAUUCUGUUCUGCUUUAAUACUUCAUGUUAAGUUCCUAAUGAACGGAGCGAUACUUUUUUUUUUUUUUUGUGAUGGUCAUGUUGACAUGCGUUUCACAUUAUACUGCAUAUCAUUUAGCAUUUUCAUAGUAGUAUUAAAGGGCCAUUAUUAGAAUUAAAUAAAAAAAUUAGCAGAGGACAAUCAUGCAAUUUCUGAUUCUGAAAAAAUAUAACAAAUUCAUUAAAAUGUAUAAAAUGCAUGUGUUCGCAAGCUAAUCCCAAAAUUACAUUUCAUCAUUGUUUAUAAUAGUAAAUUGAAGAGAUGAUUGCAAAGUACAGAGAAAGUACAAGCUCUGUGUUCGGUGCGGUGUGUCUGAAGAGCGUCUGGGUUCAGUGCAGCAGGACGAAGGAGAGAAGAGAACAGAAGAGGAACAGGAAGCUCUGAGAGACGCUCUGAACACCGCUAACACUCUGAGAGACGCUCUGAACACCGCUAACACUCUGAGAGACGCUCUGAACACCGCUAACACUCUGAGUGACGCUCUGAACACCGCUAACAGUCUGAGUGACGCUCUGAACACCGUUACACAGGUUCCCUGAGCAGCACGAGACUUCCUGAACAUUUUUAAGUGAUGCUUUAGCAUCACACAUAGAUUUGGAGAC